AGCGUAGGUGGCCUAACAUGUCAACUGUGAAAACCCGGAGCUCAACUCCGGACUUGCAGUUGAAACUGGUAGGCUUGAGGACGGUAGAGGAAGACGGAACUGCCAGUGUAGGGGUAAAAUCCUUAGAUAUUGGCAGGAACGCCGGUGACGAAGGUGGUUUUCUGGGCCUGUUCUGACACUGAUGCUCGAAAGUCAGGGGAGCGAACG
rnacentral:rRNA from 1 species